UAACAAGGAUUCCCCUAGUAACUGCGAGUGAAGCGGGAUAAGCUCAAAUUUAAAAUCUGGCGGCUUUGCUGUCCGAGUUGUAAUCUGGAGAAGCGUUUUCCGCGUCGGACCGUGUACAAGUCUCUUGGAACAGAGCGUCAUAGAGGGUGAGAAUCCCGUCCAUGACACGGACUACCGUUGCUUUGUGAUACGCUCUCGAAGAGUCGAGUUGUUUGGGAAUGCAGCUCAAAAUGGGUGGUAAAUUCCAUCUAAAGCUAAAUAUUGGCGAGAGACCGAUAGCGAACAAGUACCGUGAGGGAAAGAUGAAAAGCACUUUGGAAAGAGAGUUAAACAGUACGUGAAAUUGUUGAAAGGGAAACGCUUGAAGUCAGUCGCGUCUUCCAGGACUCACCCUUCGCCUUAGGGCUUGGUGUACUUCCUGUUAGACGGGUCAACAUCGAUUUUGGUUGGCGGACAAAGGGGAGGGGAAUGUGGCAUCUUCGGAUGUGUUAUACCCCUACUUCGUAUACGUCGACUGGGAUCGAGGACCGCAGUGCGCCCUUGUGGCCGGAGAUUCGUCUCACGUAUCGCACUUAGGAUGUUGGCAUAAUGGCUUUAAGCGACCCGUCUUGAAACACGGACCAAGGAGUCUAACAUGCUUGCGAGUGUUAGGGUGGAAAACCCUUACGCGUAAUGAAAGUGAAAGUUGGGAUCCUCCGCAAGGGGGUGCACCGACGCCCGGCCCUGAAGUUCUCUGACGGUGCUGCGGUAGAGCACGUAUGUUGGGACCCGAAAGAUGGUGAACUAUGCCUGAAUAGGGCGAAGCCAGAGGAAACUCUGGUGGAGGCUCGUAGCGAUUCUGACGUGCAAAUCGAUCGUCAAAUUUGGG
rnacentral:rRNA from 1 species